UACGUAGGGUGCAAGCGUUGUCCGGAAUUAUUGGGCGUAAAGAGCUCGUAGGCGGUUUGUUGCGUCGGCUGUGAAAACCUGAGGCUCAACCUCAGGCCUGCAGUCGAUACGAGCAGACUAGAGUGUUGCAGGGGAGACUGGAAUUCCUGGUGUAGCGGUGAAAUGCGCAGAUAUCAGGAGGAACACCGGUGGCGAAGGCGGGUCUCUGGGCAACAACUGACGCUGAGGAGCGAAAGCGUGGGUAGCGAACAGG
rnacentral:rRNA from 1 species